AAAAACCAAAUUAUUUGUGUCAUUCAUCUUUGAAAAUACACCUGCUUGUCUUCAGCAAAAAGAGGGAAGCAAGUCUCUCUCUGGAAAAAUUCAUAAUUUAGCCUGAGGAAGCUUCACAUAGACAAUGAACCAUAACGCGGUAUACCGAGUGAUGGCCAAAGAAGAACAAAAAGUACUGUGAGAGGACACAGAAGAAAUGAUUUUUACUUCUGGAAGGGUGAAGAUGAGAAGACAGAAGGAUGAGGAGGGCCGGAGGGCCCUGGGUAGAAGGAAGAAGCCUCAAGUCAGGAUAAAAAGCCUGCCAUGGAUGGCACUCCAAGACCUGGGAAAAUGGAUGGGUAUCUACGCAUUUAACUCAUUUAUCUUCCAUCUGCUCUCAUCUACUAAUACCUGGGAAUGCCGAACACCAGGGCAACAUGUGCAAAGGUCUCUCCAGAGCAAGUGUGAAAAGGGCCCAGAAGUCUUGUACCAAGGUAAUUUGAAGAAGAAAAAGGCCAUCCCAAAGGUUAACUAGACAAUUUAAGCUGGACUAUUUGGGACAGUGCAUGAUUGCUGUACAAUAUCCAAGAACAGAACUCAACCAUCUCAACACUGUCCUCUGUUCUAGCAUUAAUAAGCAGAGUACCAAGAACAAGAGAGCCUUGUGAAGUCAGCAGGGGGGAUUGUUUUGACCUGAGUCCUCUGAUUAUUCCAGAGAGUCCUGCUAAGAUCCAGCACUGUUCUUUAUUGUCCCCCCAGAUGAAAAACCACGUGGCCUGAGGUAGGGCAGGCCUACACCAUCCCACUUUCUCUUUUUGCAUAAGAGGACAAAUGUCUUCAGAGGUAUAUCCAUAAGAAGUAACCUACCUCCAGGAAGGGUCAAGGAUCAAAAAUAAAAGGUACAACUUUUAAAAAAAAAUUCUGACUCUGGCAUCACUAUACAUAGCCUAGCUGUCAGAGGGCUCAAUUUGAUCUGCUCCACGAAAGUUAAAAGCGUAAGAAACAAAGGCUCCAACUUUUCAUCCAUCACUGACUCAGAUUCAGCCCAGAAGCCACUAGAACGUCUUCAGAAAAGCUGACAGAGAAUUUCCUCGGGAAGCCCAUUUAUAUCACCAACGAAAUGGCCCCAAGUCCAAAGAAUUCUAGAUGUAAGGAGAGCCAAUCUACCUUUCAUUGAUCAAAAACAGAGACCAGUUCCUUGUGGCAUCAUUGUGCUUCAUGUUCAUUGUCUCCAUGGCAAAGUCAGCAGAAGGGAGAACGAAGUGGGUAGGAUUGAGGGAACCCGAUAUGAUUCUUUGCUGAGUCUCUGCUGCUUCCCCUUCCAAAUAUUUCUCUCGACACCAUUAGGCUGCCCUCUGCGCCCUCGGGGGUGGGGCCCCUCCCACAGUCACCCAGCGCACACACACAAAGUGACCUAGCACUUUUCCGACAUAAAUAAUGCCAUCUGCAGCAACACAGAUGGACCUAGAAAUUAUCAUAUUAAGUGAAAUAAGUCAAAGACAAAUGUCAUAUGAUAUCUCUUACAUGGGACUCUAAAAAAACCUGACACAAAUGAACUUACUUACAAACUGGAAAUAGACUCACAGACAUAGAAAACAAGCUAUGGUUACCAAAGGGGAAAUGGAUGGGGAGGAGGGGUACAUUAGGAGCUUGGGAUUAACAGAUACACACUACUAUAUAUAAAACAGGUAAACAACAAAGACCUACUAUAUAGCACAGAAAACUAUAUUCAAUAGCUUAUA